CCAAGGCUAAAUACUCCUGACUGACCGAUAGUGAACCAGUACCGUGAGGGAAAGGCGAAAAGAACCCCGGCGAGGGGAGUGAAAAAGAACCUGAAACCGUGUACGUACAAGCAGUGGGAGCCCCACCACUAAGCCAGUGGUGAACUCCACAUACGCAUCCUUUGCUGAAGGCAAUGGUUAACGGAGCGAAAGCGACGUUCAACCGCAAAACAAGCAGAGGGGGCUUAGUGGUGGGGUGACUGCGUACCUUUUGUAUAAUGGGUCAGCGACUUAUAUUCUGUAGCAAGGUUAACCGUAUAGGGGAGCCGGAGGGAAACCGAGUCUUAAUUGGGCGUUAAGUUGCAGGGUAUAGACCCGAAACCCGGUGAUCUAGCCAUGGGCAGGUUGAAGGUUGGGUAACACUAACUGGAGGACCGAACCGACUAAUGUUGAAAAAUUAGCGGAUGACCUGUGGCUGGGGGUGAAAGGCCAAUCAAACCGGGAGAUAGCUGGUUCUCCCCGAAAGCUAUUUAGGUAGCGCCUCGUGAAUUCAUCUCCGGGGGUAGAGCACUGUUUCGGCUAGGGGGCCAUCCCGGCUUACCAACCCGAUGCAAACUGCGAAUACCGGAGAAUGUUAUCACGGGAGACACACGGCGGGUGCUAACGUCCGUCGUGAAGAGGGAAACAACCCAGACCGCCAGCUAAGGUCCCAAAGUCAUGGUUAAGUGGGAAACGAUGUGGGAAGGCCCAGACAGCCAGGAUGUUGGCUUAGAAGCAGCCAUCAUUUAAAGAAAGCGUAAUAGCUCACUGGUCGAGUCGGCCUGCGCGGAAGAUGUAACGGGGCUAAACCAUGCACCGAAGCUGCGGCAGCGAC
rnacentral:rRNA from 1 species